GCAGAGGGAGGGGCAGAGGCUGCUGACCUCAUUACCAUAUUUAUCCAGGGAGGGCAGAGGGAGGGGCAGAGGCUGCUGAUCUCAUUACCAUAUUUAUCCAGGGAGGGCAGAGGGAGGGGCAGAGGCUGCUGAUCUCAUUACCAUAUUUAUCCAGGGAGGGCAGAGGGAGGGGCAGAGACUGCUGGCAUCAUUACCAUAUUUAUCCAGAGAAGGGAGGGCAGAGGGAGGGGCAGAGGCUGCUGAGCUCAUUACCAUAUUUAUCCAGAGAAGGGAGGGCAGAGGGAGGGACAGAGAGGGAGGGACAGAGAGAGAGAUGGACAGAGAGAGAGAUGGACAGAGAGAGAGAUGGACAGAGAGAGAGAUGGACAGAGGGAAAGAAAGAAAAUAUACAUUUCUAUAUUUCCACCAUUGAGACAGAGUACACUAGUAGUACCCAUACAGACAGUGUACACUAGUAGUACCCAUACAGACAGUGUACACUAGUAGUAC
rnacentral:lncRNA from 1 species